rnacentral:rRNA from 1 species
UGGGCGAAAGCCUGACGCAGCGACGCCGCGUGGGGGAUGAAGCUUCUCGGAGUGUAAACCCCUUUCGACCCGGACGAAUGACCCGCAAGGGUUUGACGGUACGGGUAUAAGAAGCCCCGGCUAACUACGUGCCAGCAGCCGCGGUAAUACGUAGGGGGCCAGCGUUGCUCGGAAUUACUGGGCGUAAAGGGUUCGUAGGUGGUGCGGCAAGUUGGAAGUGAAAUCUCUGGGCUUAACCCAGAGGCUGCUUUCAAAACUGCCGCGCUCGAGUGCGAGAGAGGCCAGUGGAAUUGCAGGUGUAGCGGUGAAAUGCGUAGAUAUCUGCAGGAACACCCGUGGCGAAGGCGGCUGGCUGGAUCGCAACUGACACUGAGGAACGAAAGCUAGGGGAGCAAACAGGAUUAGAUACCCUGGUAGUCCUAGCCCUAAACCAUCAGAACUUGGGGUGGCCCGCGUAGGCGGGUCGUCCCGUAGCUAACGCGUUAAGUUCUGCGCCUGGGGAGUA